CACCGAGAGAACUUAAAAGAACUGGCAGAGCAUGUGAAAUUACCUUGAACAUGGGCCCGGGGGAAGAUACAUAUCACUGGAGCCAUUACCUGACUACUACCCUUCUAGCAGCAUGAAAAUUUGUCUUGAAAAGUUUUAAGGACCCCAACACAGUCGACGGUGGCCCUGAUGAGACAAACCCACAUGGUGAUGUGGCUAAAGAACUAAGUGAAGGAGAAAUCAGGUCAUCUACCACCUCCAGAUGUGGCUCAUGUAGUUCUGUUAGAAGAACAAGGAGUUCUUCAAGCCAAGUCAAUCCACCAAGGUCAGAAGAUGACACCAAUUCAGGCCACACCAAUGUCAAUCCAGUGGAUGAUGACUAUAGGCAACAAGGCCACAGGUUUAGCUUUGAAGAAAAGUUUGCACUAAUCACAGAUAUCAGAGAAAUAUAUGAUGAUCUACAUUAUUUGGAACUGGCAAAUAUUAUUCACCAAAAUCUGCCUGCUGGAAUGUAUCCAGAACCUCUGAUGUCAUCAAAAAAAGGUUUAAUGAUUUCAAAAGAAUAGUCAAACAAAAUAUGUCGGAAGAAGCCCUUCAGGCCAAAAAAAAAUGGAGGAGGCCCAUUUCAGCCAAUACAGUUCUCCACAUGGGAAUUGUUGCAAUUGGAGAAAAUUUUGGUAGUGUCUGGGGUACAUGGUGGCAUGGAUACAGAAGAUCCAUCCAUUUAUCAAUCACCUGGUAAAAUCCAAAAUAUCCUUAUGAUUGAUAUUGUAAAGGAGUACUUGUACCUGGACCAUAACAUUAAUUCUGAUGCCAAGAUUGUUUCUCACUGACACUUUGCAAACUGCCUUGGUGUUGUACAUAUAUUUGGAGAAUCCUUUGCAUCACAUCUCCUAUUUUUACUGUAUGUAUCUGGUUGCUAGGGUCAAAUGGAGCCUAUCAACCAGUCAGUGUUUGGAAACAGAAACACAAAAAUGGCUAAAGGAUGGACUACAAGUGGUAGGAUUGAAAUAUGACCCUCACACACAAAUGUUGGUGUUGCAGUCACCCCCUUUUAAAAACUCCAAAUAUUUGGAAGAGUGAGAAAUUCUAUCAACAUUUCCACUUAAAAAAUGAGUCAGGGGUCCACCAAAAAAACUUAGAUCAGAAGCCCACUGUCAGGGCCCGAAGGCAGGGAGAUGUUGGGUCAGUUUGGUCAGAACAACUAGCCGGCUUUACCUGUCCCUGGUGUGUCAUUGUAUCUUCAUUUGUGAUAUUCACCAUCGUUUCUAAAAAUGUCCCUGAUUUGUCAGAUUAUCUGGUAGCCUUAUUAUAGUGUAGACAAUAUCCCCCUAUUCCCCCCUUCCCUACUGGGUUAAAUUAAGUUUUUAGGAGUCUAUAGGACAUUGGGGCUGAAAAGCAAGAUCUUAAUCUACCAGUAGCUGUUUAGCUGGGGGCCUGAAGAUCCCAACAGCAGGGCACUGCCCAUUAAAAUAUUAGUUUGAUCCCAAUCUCCAUGAUUGAGUAUUGUGAAGCCAUUCCGUUGUACAGGGAGCAGCUUUUGCUGGUUGUUUGUGUUGGGCUGUAUCUGUGUGUUACAGUGUUUAUCUCCACUCCCGUUUGUACAGGAAAAUGUGAGAACUGUAUAAAUAACAGAUAAUGAUAAGAUUUACACCCUCCCUUCCACCUCGGCCCCCUCCUGUAUCAUUCUUUCCUAUUCACUCAAUCAUCGUUUAUUAUGUGAAGGAGAGAUUCAAUUUUCUUUCAAUACAGAUAUUGUGGGAGUUAUUAUAUGAACUAAUAAAAGUCCAUGGCUA